rnacentral:RNase_P_RNA from 1 species
CUAGAUUGUUGGCUAGCCGCCGCGUGUUUACACGGGGAGGAAAGUCCGGGCAGCGUAGGGCAUGACAGUUGCUAACGGCAACCGAGGGAAACCUCAGGGAAAGUGCCACAGAAACAAGACCGCCUGUUUACAGGUAAGGGUGAAACGAGUGAGGUAAGAGCUCACAGCGCCUUACGGUGACGUAAGGAGAAGGUAAACCCUGUCUGCUGCAAGGAGAUACAUCGGCAAUAGGUGACCCGCCGCUGGUGUGUCGUAAGAUCCGCUUGAUCUUGUCGGCAACGGCAAGACUAGAUAGAUGGCUGGCAAAACAGAACCCGGCUUACAGAUGGUCUAGCGUA